rnacentral:tRNA from 1 species
GGAGAGGUGUCCGAGCUGGCCUAAGGAGCGCGACUGGAAAUCGCGUACCCGGCGACGAGCUGGGUCGCGGGUUCGAAUCCCGCCCUCUCCG